AUGAACGCUAGCUACAGGCUUAACACAUGCAAGUCGAGGGGCAGCAUGGUCUUAGCUUGCUAAGGCCGAUGGCGACCGGCGCACGGGUGAGUAACACGUAUCCAACCUGCCGUCUACUCUUGGACAGCCUUCUGAAAGGAAGAUUAAUACAAGAUGGCAUCAUGAGUCCGCAUGUUCACAUGAUUAAAGGUAUUCCGGUAGACGAUGGGGAUACGUUCCAUUAGAUAGUAGGCGGGGUAACGGCCCACCUAGUCUUCGAUGGAUAGGGGUUCUGAGAGGAAGGUCCCCCACAUUGGAACUGAGACACGGUCCAAACUCCUACGGGAGGCAGCAGUGAGGAAUAUUGGUCAAUGGGCGAGAGCCUGAACCAGCCAAGUAGCGUGAAGGAUGACUGCCCUAUGGGUUGUAAACUUCUUUUAUAAAGGAAUAAAGUCGGGUAUGCAUACCCGUUUGCAUGUACUUUAUGAAUAAGGAUCGGCUAACUCCGUGCCAGCAGCCGCGGUAAUACGGAGGAUCCGAGCGUUAUCCGGAUUUAUUGGGUUUAAAGGGAGCGUAGAUGGAUGUUUAAGUCAGUUGUGAAGGUUUGCGGCUCAACCGUAAAAUUGCAGUUGAUACUGGAUAUCUUGAGUGCAGUUGAGGCAGGCGGAAUUCGUGGUGUAGCGGUGAAAUGCUUAGAUAUCACGAAGAACUCCGAUUGCGAAGGCAGCCUGCUAAGCUGCAACUGACAUUGAGGCUCGAAAGUGUGGGUAUCAAACAGGAUUAGAUACCCUGGUAGUCCACACGGUAAACGAUGAAUACUCGCUGUUUGCGAUAUACAGCAAGCGGCCAAGCGAAAGCGUUAAGUAUUCCACCUGGGGAGUACGCCGGCAACGGUGAAACUCAAAGGAAUUGACGGGGGCCCGCACAAGCGGAGGAACAUGUGGUUUAAUUCGAUGAUACGCGAGGAACCUUACCCGGGCUUAAAUUGCAGAUGAAUUACGGUGAAAGCCGUAAGCCGCAAGGCAUCUGUGAAGGUGCUGCAUGGUUGUCGUCAGCUCGUGCCGUGAGGUGUCGGCUUAAGUGCCAUAACGAGCGCAACCCUUGUUGUCAGUUACUAACAGGUUCCGCUGAGGACUCUGACAAGACUGCCAUCGUAAGAUGUGAGGAAGGUGGGGAUGACGUCAAAUCAGCACGGCCCUUACGUCCGGGGCUACACACGUGUUACAAUGGGGGGUACAGAGGGCCGCUACUACGCGAGUGGAUGCCAAUCCCAAAAACCUCUCUCAGUUCGGACUGGAGUCUGCAACCCGACUCCACGAAGCUGGAUUCGCUAGUAAUCGCGCAUCAGCCACGGCGCGGUGAAUACGUUCCCGGGCCUUGUACACACCGCCCGUCAAGCCAUGGGAGCCGGGGGUACCUGAAGUGCGUAACCGCGAGGAGCGCCCUAGGGUAAAACUGGUGACUGGGGCU
rnacentral:rRNA from 1 species